rnacentral:rRNA from 1 species
GACGAACGCUGGCGGCGCGCUUAACACAUGCAAGUCGAACGGAAAGGCCUGCUUUCCCUUGUGGAUUGCGGGUACUCGAGUGGCGAACGGGUGAGUAACACGUGAGUGAUCUGCCCCCAACUUGGGUUUAAGCCUGGGAAACUGGGUCUAAUUCCCGAUAGGACUGCAGGGUGGUGCCUGUGGUGGAAAACGAUUUUCUAGUGGUUGGGGAUGAGCUCGCGGCCUAUCAGCUUGUUGGUGGGGUAAUGGCCUACCAAGGCGGCGACGGGUAGCCGGCCUGAGAGGGUGGACGGCCACAUUGGGACUGAGAUACGGCCCAGACUCCUACGGGAGGCAGCAGUGGGGAAUAUUGCACAAUGGGCGGAAGCCUGAUGCAGCGACGCCGCGUGGGGGAUGACGGCCUUCGGGUUGUAAACUCCUUUCGACCGCGAGGAAGCCACCUGGUUGGAAGGGUGGUGACGGUAGUGGUAGAAGAAGCACCGGCUAACUACGUG